UUGUACAUCUCAAGAAAUCUUAUAAGUUGAACUAAAACAGACUAAGACAUUGCCAUGAUUGAUAGCUAAUAGUAUACCUAUCAUUUAUUUAACAAUUACAUGCAUUUGUUAUUUGUUAAACACCCUAUUUAACCAUAGGCUUAAACGAGGUGAGACUCUUGAAAUGCUCCCAUGGCUUCUCCCAAACGACAGCUUCAAAUUUCUUGGUCGAAGGUCCGUCCUUGACGACCAAGAUCAGCCGGUAAUUAGUGCCGGAAACCACCUGAGUCCAGGCCUUCUCCACGUUCUCGAACUUCAAUGCGCUCUUUGACCGUUUGUUGUACUCCGUCACCGCGAACUGCCCGAUCUCCAUCACGUGCUUCUCCGUGGGGUCUAUCGGAGUCCAUCCCCCAAACAUAGGCUUAAACGAGGUGAGACUCUUGAAAUGCUCCCAUUGCUUCUCGAAAACGACAGCUUCAAAUUUCUUGGUCGAAGGUCCGUCCUUGACGACCAAGAUCAGCCGGUAAUUGGUGCCGGAAACCACCUGAGUCUCGCCCUCCUCCACGCUCUCGAACUUCAACGCGCUCUUUGACCGUUUGUUGUACUCCGUCACCGCGAACUGCCCGAUCUCCAUCACGUGCUUCUCCUUGGGGUCCUUUAUCGGCAUCCAUCCCCCAACAAACGCUCCUU
rnacentral:lncRNA from 1 species